rnacentral:lncRNA from 1 species
ACGCUGUUCACGACCAUAGUACGAUUCUAGCACGCCCUUGCCGUCCUCAUCACGCUCUUCUUACGACCUGACUACGUUCACACUACGACCAUCAUUCUCAUUGUCAUUUUCACAUAAAAUAUAUAAAAAAGCUCCCUAGAUUUUGUUUGUUUGAAUGUAAUUAUCCAUUUGCUCUAACGGCUCAACCAUGCUUCUCGUUUUUAUAUAGAUUAGACCGUUGGUUUUCCCGUUUAAAUGGUUU